UUUCCUGGACCGCCUUUUCAGGUUUUCAAUCCACCGGGAUACCCAUUUUUGCCUAAGCCGCCUUUGCAGGUUUUCGACUCACCGGGUGUACAUAUUAUUUUUAUUCUUUAUCCCUAACUUUUUCCUGAACCUUUUUCUUUUCUUUUUCUCUUGGUUCGCCGGGAUGCCCUUUUUUGCCUAGACUUUCUUUUUUUUGUCCAGCGGGUCAGUUUAUGCGAAGUAUUUUUUGACUACAUCUGAAUUCACA
rnacentral:lncRNA from 1 species